rnacentral:rRNA from 1 species
CUGGUUGAUCCUGCCAGUAGUCAUAUGCUUGUCUCAAAGAUUAAGCCAUGCAUGUCUAAGUACAAGCCUCAGUAAGGUGAAACCGCGAAUGGCUCAUUAAAUCACACCUAAUCUACUGGAAAGUUACAAGUUACUUGGAUAACUGAGGUAAUUCUUGAGCUAAUACAUGCGAAAAAUCUCGACUCACGGAGAGAUGCUUUUAUUAGAUCAAAACCAAACGGCUUCGGCCGUAACAUUGGUGACUCUGAAUAACUUUGGGCUGAUCGUAUGGCCUUGUGCCGACGACGUUUCCUUCGAAGGU